GACUCCUGGGAGUGAGCGGAGGGGUCUUUCGCGCGUCCUUUUCACCAACAGGUUGGGGCUGGGCUGCUGCUAAGCCUGCCUGCAGGAGGCUUAACAUCUAUAGCUUCUCUAAGUCGGUGUGUGUCAAGAAGGGUGGCACUGGAGCAGAAAAGGAGACCACGAGGAGGGACGCCGGUCAGUUCCAUGUGGAUCAGGGAAGUUGCUUCAGCUACGGAGCCAGCAGAAGGCCGCGACCAUGGGACACAAUCAGGAACUCUCCGCCCCAAACUUCAUCUGUAGCUCCUUAGUAAUAAACCCUGGUGAACUCUCA